UAUUGAGAAUUUUAUCCAUUUCUGCUAUUAAACACGGGCAUAGCUGACAAAAUAACUAAAUAACAGCAUGUGGUGUGCCACGUGUAACUCAUUAAUUUUAAACAUUAGGAAUUGAUGAAAUUUUUAACA
rnacentral:pre_miRNA from 1 species